GGGGAUAUAGCUCAGUUGGUAGAGUGCUUGCCUCACAUGCAUAAGGCCUUGGGUUCAAUCCCCAGUACCACAA
rnacentral:tRNA from 1 species